GACGAACCGUGCGAACGUUAUUCGGAAUCACUGGGCUUAAAGGGUGCGUAGGCUGCGAGGAGGGUGGGGUGUGAAAUCCCUCGGCUUAACCGAGGAAUUGCGCUCCAAACCGCCUUGCUGGAGUGAGACAGAGGUGAGCGGAACUAAUGGUGGAGCGGUGAAAUGCGUUGAUAUCAUUAGGAACACCAGAGGCGAAGGCGGCUCACUGGGUCUCAACUGACGCUGAUGCACGAAAGCUAGGGUAGCGAACGGG
rnacentral:rRNA from 2 species